GACAGAGGGUGCAAACGUUGUUCGGAAUUACUGGGCGUAAAGCGCGUGUAGGCUGCUUGGAAAGUCGGAUGUGAAAGCCCUGGGCUCAACCUAGGAAGUGCAUUCGAAACUUCUGAGCUUGAGUAUCGGAGAGGAAGGCGGAAUUCUCGGUGUAGAGGUGAAAUUCGUAGAUAUCGAGAGGAACACCGGUGGCGAAGGCGGCCUUCUGGACGAUUACUGACGCUGAGACGCGAAAGCGCGGGGAGCAAACAGG
rnacentral:rRNA from 1 species